ACAACACCCACAUUCCCUUCCAAAGAUGUCCAACGAUCGACGACGACCAUCUUCCUUCCGCAGGCCUUCCAUUUGCAACUAUCUUUCACAAUCCAAGUAAUAUUUAGGAUUGCAUGGGAUAUAUGCAAAAUUCUCAUAUACUUCAUGAGUUGCCCAAGCUACUUAUGUGAUCGUGUGACCUUCUAUAAAACCUUGGUUAACAUAUCGCAACAUUGUUGUUCAUAGCAUGUGUGCAAAGUUUGUUAAAAAAACAAAAAAGGUAGUUAGUUGAAAUUAAACACAAAACAAACUUAUUUGAAUCAAUCUCCAGUAAUAUUUAUUAAAAAAAAACUCUAAAGAACAUCCUUAGUGUUCAACCAAAAAAAUCAUGUAAUUACAGAUUAAAUUUGUUGUUCAAUAAUGGAAAGAGGAGAAAAACAAUGCAAAGACUAAUUGUACAUAGAUGAAAAAAAACAAUUACUAGGGAGAGUUGAAAAAGAGUUAAACCAAAGUAAAAUGAUGAGUGAGCAAUUGAGAAAAAACAAGUAAAUAAAGAUAGGAUUUUGGGUUUUAGAUUCAAACAAAACUGUCAAUGCACUUCGAUCCUCAUUACAAAAAAUGAUUAUUAUUUUUGAAUGACAUGCCGGAAAUCACCUAAUAUAUUUCAUUAUUACCAGGCGAAUAAGUAAAUAUUAGAAAUAUAACUGACCUCAUGCACUUUUUAUUGUCAUCUAACAACUGAAUUUUCUUUAAAGAAAAAACCGAUCAUCAACAAAAAAAACAAGUGUAUUUAUUAUCUAUCAUCCGAUAAUGACAUGAUAUAGAAAAUUAUACAAAGAAACCAGCGUCUACUGACUUCAUAUGAAGAGAUAAAUCAACCCAUGAAGUUGAAGGGGGAUUGGUAGGCAAAGAUACUCUGGAAAAAGGUAAAAUAAAAUUACAAAAAGUUAUUUUAGAAUAAUAUCACAAAUGCAAAUAUUUAAAUCAGUUUACCACUACUCAUUGUUCAUCAACACCAUCAUCGACAUCCAACGUCGUUGAUCCCAAAUUCACAUCCAUGAUUCCACAUCCUACAAAAUGUGCAUUCAAGUUAAAAUUUUAUAAUUUAUUGUUGACCAUUAAUUAUAUACAGUUAGGAACUUUGGAUCAAUCCCUUCCAACAUGCAAUUGAGCAAUCUAGACAACAUAUCUCCCCUUAGUAUAUGGCAGUCUUCAGAACAUGCAUGAUACACACUGAUAGUACAAGGUCCAACACACAGACCAUAGUACUAAAAGACGUAUCCCAAGGUAUCUAAUACGCAGAGGAAGGGGGAGUACUGGUGAUACAGUAUCCCGAACCCAGUCAUAACCUACCAGCAACUAGAAGUCCGGAUAGCUAAGAUGAGUUAAGGUGCCUAUUCUAGGGUUGGGGAGGUCCCAAGUCGAAUCCUAGGAAGAUCGACUUUCCUGAGGAUCGACUUCCCUGGGAUCGACUUCUGAAUAAAGUCGAUCACCAGGAAAGUCGACUCCCAGAAAGUCGAUCUCUGGAAAGUCGAUCUCUGGCCCCAAUCUGAUCAGUUAGGCAGUUAGGCGGUUACUGUCCAAAUAACCAGAUUACCCCCAUAAGAACCCCUAUAAAUAGGAGGCAUCCCCCACUCAUUAAAGGCAGGUCAUUUAGAGCGAAAGGAUUCCUAGCGAAGCAGAGCUCUGCGCACUUGAGUUCCGGUCCGGUUUCCCGCGGAGUUCCCCGCUUGGCGCUUGCUUGCGCGUCUUGGAGUACUGGUCGGGUUUCACCCCCAUCAGUUGGCGCCGUCUGUGAUUCAAAGAUACUCACGACAAAAGCUCCUCGACUUCUUCGAAAAAAGGGAUCGACUUUUUUCCAAGUCGCCAGCUAGGAAGUUUUGCGAGGAAAUCAGCCAGCAAGGGAUCGACAUUUCAGGAGAUCGACUUUUUCUUCCGAAGAAAAGUCGACCCCUCAAGGAGCUAGGCUUUCGAACAUCGGCUUCCAAGGAAUCCUCCAAGUGCACUAGGGAUCGACUUCUUGAAGAUCGACUUUCCUCUCCAGGCAAAAGUCGAACACUCCUUCCAGGAAAAGUCGAACACUCCAGGAUGGUGGUAACUCGAAGCACUUCUCAAGGAGGAGGAGCGAAUUCUCAGGAGGCGCCAGGGCAACAACCUGGCAACUCAAAAACUAAAAGGCCAGUAGGUCGACCACCUAAGGCCAAUAAAAACAAAAGGACUCCCACAGGACCUGAGACUGAACCCGAAGGGGAACUUGGGCAAACUCCCCAAGCGUCAGCAGGAGGGGAAAAUCUGAACAUCACAGUUCAGGCGAUAGCAGAUGCUAUCCGACUCAUCACUGAAAAACCUUCGGAAGAACAGCCUCAAAGGGAGAAACCCACAAGCAGCAGGGGACCAAGGACUGCUGCAUCAGAAUCCACUCAUGGGUUCAUAAAAGUACCCAUAGAAGAGCUAGAGGAAAUGAAGGAAACCAUAGCAAAAAUGAGCGAGAAGAUAAAGGAUAUUGAAAAAUCUAGGGUAUCAAUAUACCAUACAAAAGCUCAAACCUCAAAGCAGGCCAAGGCACAGCAGGAGGUGUCAAGCCAUAGGGCAGCACACUCCAGCGCACCACUACCUAACAAACUAGAGGGGCAACUCAAACCCUCUUUCAGAAAACCCGUACAGGAAGAAAGUACGGGAGACACAGAAGAAGGAGGUGAGGUCCCAAAUUGGCUGGUAGGCAUGGAUGCUUUGCACAAAUCACUGAUGGUAAAACCAGCACCCCUAAAGUUUAGGCUACCCAGGCUCCAGGUUUACGAUGGGAAAAUGGACCCAGCAGACCACAUAAAUAUGUUCGUAGGGGCAAUGCAGUGGGCCACAUCAAGGGAUGACAUUCUCUGCAGAGCAUUCCCAGGAACACUGAAGGGACCUACAUAUAGGUGGUUCGUCGAACUUCAGCCAGGGAGCAUAACGAAUUUCGAGGACUUGAAAAAGAAAUUCGUCGCCCAACACUGCGGAAACACAAGGGUAAGGAAGGGCACAGAAUCACUGUUUGCAAUCAAACAAAAUGGAGAAACGCUCCGGAAUUAUACAACCAAAUUCACGGAAGCAAUGCAGAAAAUCUCCGAUCUAAACACAACAAUCGCAAUAUGCGCAUAUUCAAAAGGGCUAGACAUGAACACGCCAUUAGCAAUAAAACUAAACGUAAGUAAUGUAAAAUGCAUGGAGGACCUGCUAACAAAGGCCCAAAAAUACAUAAACUCUGAGGAGAAUGAGAAAGAAAAAGAAAAAGAGAGAGGUGUCAUAAGCAACAAAAAAGCGUAUGAAGCACCAAAGAAAAAAUAUCAGAAAUUUGAAAAAGGAGAAUCAUCUUGGAGACCAAAACACGAUGGAAAGGUCUACCAGACAUCUGAGGAGUUUAGAAAACCAAAAUACCCAAGGUAUGGGUUUACGGCUUUCAGCACUCCAAAGGAGGAAAUCUACAGCAAAGAAAAAGGAAGAAUAAGGUUUCCUCAACCAGAAGAAUUAAACCCUGCAACAAAAGAGGCCUGAACAAGGGGGAACAAAUAUUGUAGGUUCCACAAGGACUACGGGCACAAUACAGAAAAUUGCAGGGAGCUGAGCACCUUCCUAGACACACAGGUAAAGGAGGGGAAGCUUAAACAAUACGUAAACAAAGUAGAAAGGGAGCAACAAGGUCGCAGGAACCCAAGUAACAAGGGUAAGCGACAGCGCUCAAAAAGUCCCGACUCAGAUACUGAACAUAAGAGGAGGGUAAUAGAUUAAAUCUUCGGCGGGGGAUCAAUAGGAGAAAGCAGAGCUUCUCUGAGGAAGAUCCGGCCCACACCUAAUUACGCAAGGCAGAACAAUUAAUCAUAUUCACCCUUGCGGUAUUCACAUGGAAUAUAGGGCAGAUUUAAAAGGGUCAAAAACAUCUCAGCUAAUACCCCCAGAGGGGGGGGCAGAGAGAGGCACUAGUUGACUCAUCAUCUAUAUCUCCGUGCAAUCCGAACAUAACACAGGCAGAAUACUGGAAAAAACCCUCAAUAGAAUACAUUGAAAGGUAGGAACUCCCAGAGAACAGGAAUAAAAGGCGUAAACACGCAUUCCAAGAUACUGCCUAGUUGAUAACAUUCAGCAUAAGAAACCUUGCAUCAAGGGAUAUGCAAAAUACAUCAAGGGGGGAGGACCCUAGCCCAAAGAAUAACAAGGUAGAGGCACUUCCGGCCUACACUAAAGAAAGAGGCAAUCUUACCUGCAAGAAAAUGCAAGGUAUGCCAGAUUCACAAAAACAUACGACUAAUAGGGAUAGUAAGCCUCAUCCCUUUCGCAACAUAAGGGAUAAACAGUGUAGGCUAAAUUUAUAUUUAUAGCUGUCGACUACUUUACUGAAUGGGCUAAAGCACUAGCUGUACCCAAAAUAACUCAAGUAAAGUGCAGAUUCGAUAUUCCAAUGCAUAUAGUGACAGAUAACGGUACAUAGUUUACCGGUGGGGAGUUUACGAGAUUAUGCAAGAACAUGGGCAUAUAGAACCACUGAAAAGACACCCACCAAAGAAACCCCGUUCUCACUAGCAUAUGGAAUAAAAGCACUAAUCCCAACAGAGCUAGGCAUUCCAACAGUCAGAAUAUUAUCCUAUGAUACGGAAGAACGUAGUGUUAGACGGGGAACACGUUGGCAAGAGUAAACCUCACCUACGGAAGAACGUAGUGUUAGACGAGGGACGUACUCCAAAGUGAACCCCACCUACGGAAGAAAACAUGAGAUCAUGUGCGAUAACUCUGGACUUAGUGGAUGAGCUUAGGGGUAACGUACAGGCAAAGAAUACAGCUUAUAAACAAAGUAUCGCUAGAUACCACGACAAGAAUGUCAAGGGUAAAGCGAUAAGAAAAGGAAGUCUAGUAUGAAGAAGAGCAAGUGUCGGUAGAAAAGACUGCUCUAAAGGCAAACUAGGCACAAAUUGGGAAGGACCAUGUGUGGUGGAGGAAGAACUCCGACCAGACACGUACAGGUUAAAGCGGGAAGAUGGAACAGGCAUUCCUAAUACUUGGCACGCAGAUAACCUACUGUUGUACUUUUAAAAACAAUUAAGUAGGGUUAUACUCUUGUAAUAGUUUGAACUAUAUAACUAAUACGUUAUUUAGUUAACUAUCAGAACACUUUAAAAUACAACAGUUAACUAUUGUUAGUAAUAAGAAUACUCAAAAAACAUUCCAUAUAUUGAUUUAAAAAAGAAUUACAGAGGAAUGUAAGUUACAACAAAAAGUAGAGAACUUAAUCUAUUUUAGGAAGGGGGGGAAUGUCUUCAGAACCCGCUGCAUCAUUGUUAUCUAUAGAAAAGUCUGUAUCAAUGUCAGCAAGCGCCUGUAGAAUCUCCUCCUCUUCAUUCUCUCUCUCCUCCUCAUCCCUUUCCUCUGCAAGCGCCCGAUCACGAACUUCGGUGGCUUCUUUGGGAUUCUUACAGGCCCAGUCAUGAACAUCUGCGGCUUCAAAGCCCGGGCAAACAUGAGGGCCCAGAUCAACCAAGUCAUUAUAAUCUCGUAGAUUGACGAGAAAAUCGGCUUGGAGUGUCUCCAAGUGGGUGACCACACGUUGACGCUCUUCAAUUGCAAGUCGAGCUUCCUCAGUUGCGCGGUGAGCUUCCGCAGUUACACGGUUGACCACCUCAGUCUUUGCUUGAUCCGCUUCUUCCAGUCGCAUUAUCGUCUUCUUGUAUUCAUCUUGCGACUCCAGCAGCUUCUUGUUCUCCUCAUGAAUCUCUCCCAGUUGGUCGGAGAGUGUGGAGAUCUUUUUCCGAGAAGAAUCAAGGUUAACAUCUUUGUCAGCAAUCAUCGAGUCUUUGAUAAUAACCUUAGCGCGUUCAGCUGCAAGUUCCAACCUCGCAGCUCCCAACUCUCCCCUAAGUUGGGAGAUGUCCUGCUCUUUUUGUUUCAGAGAAUUUCGUUGAGCAGCCCAGUCAUCAGCCAACUUCUUAUUUGUUUCAGACAAGGUCGAGGCGUCUGUAAUCUUCUGUGCAACCUCACCUUCCAGAUCUCGGCAUCGGCGCUUCGCUCUUUUCAACUCGUCUUCCAUGGACUGAGAGUCACGAAGACGAGACAGAGAAGCGAUGCGGCCCUGGAACAAAUGGUUGAGCUGCAAAAAAUAAAUAAAUAAGGACACGCUCAUAAAAAAUAAUUAAAAGAUAAAGGACACUCACGUUGCUUAAAUUUUGUCCAAUCUCUUCAACAACCCGGUCCAUCGGAUACCCAGAGAUAGCUCGCAGUGUGGUACGGGUAGUAUCCGUAUCGGGGGUCAGGGAAGAUUUGGACCCAUAGUUUCGGGGACGCGAUCCUUGAUACCCCGGCAGCUGCGUCUCCCGGGUGGAAGAAUAGUUAAAACGACCCCGGGAGGACUCCCCAGGAUAGUAGGUCUUCUUGCGAAGAGGACUUCGUCGCUUGGGGGAGGGUCUCCUCUUCCUCGGAGGAGACGAGUCAGUCCUGGGGGGAGGAGGAGUUCGUUCCUUUCUUUUCCUCCUAUCAGAGAUCUCUCUCUCUGUAGUUUUCUCAGUCCGCUUAGACUGAGUCUCUUUCUCCUUCUCCGCCUUCUCUCGUUCUUCCUCUGACGGAGUACGGAAGAAGCUAGAAAGCCUCGAGGCAGCAGGAGACUGCUCGGGAGUAGCGUCUUUUGGUACCUCCCCUUCCUCGGUACAUCGGACCUCGUCAGGAGUAGGAAACGUCGCCAUUGUGUAGGCGUUCUCUAGCGCACGCUGCCUCAGAUGAUCAGCGUCAGAAGGUUUGGAGGCAGCGGCAUAGAGUUUAGAACCCGUCUCGUUCUGUCCGACGCGUUCAGGGACACCUCCGGGGUGAUGCAUAUAAAAAUCUGCAAGAAACAAAAACAGAGUUAAAAAAUAUACGUGUAUAAAAAACACAAAAGGUAAACAGACAAAGGAAGACCUUGUCGGCUAAAGGUAUCCUCAAUCGCGUGACAGACAGGCACAGCAAUAGGAUGCAAAAAGGCGAGAUUUUGCACAGAAGCUCCCUCUUCCUCAGUCAAAUCAGGACGAGGAAUAGGCUUACGGCCACUAGUGGAUGCAGGGAGAAGUCUGCUACCAGGGCAUAACCUGCAAUCCACGAAGAUGAACUCACUCUUGUUCCGCCUGGUCGGAGGAUCUUUCAAGAUAGCAGAGUGAGUGACAGAAGUAGAACGGCUGGCACAGGAAAUGAAAAGGCUGCCCUUCUUCGGAUUUUGAAAGAUGAAGAAGUGGAAGAACAGCCGAGCGGUAGGAACUAUGCCAGCAUCCCGAAGGAUAUUUAUGAACCCCCUGACAUAGAAAAAGAAGGCAGCACCCAUUUGAGAGAUGCACGUUCCAGAGUAAAGAAGUAUCUCACUAACGAUAGAAGGGAUCGGAAGAAUCGGAAAGUUGGUGAAAUACACUCGAUGGAGUGCCAACAUGAAGUAGGGGGGCACGUCGCCAGUGUUCUCAGAGGGGUACGCCCAGUACACCCUCUCCCUAAGCUCUAACCCCCUCAAAAUUUUUCGGGCAGCAUCCAAGGAUAAGGUAUUAGAGCAGCUACCUGCGUUAGAAGAAAGGGGGUAGCCCGGAAUAUCAGUCAAAGAGACUGCACAAAAGGAACCAUACCCGGUUCCAUAUUCGCCCCGGUCAAGGAUAGGGACGACGUGGAAACCGUUACGGACAAGAACGGACCACUGACGCCAAGAACCAUCAAUCUCCCGAUAGAAAGAUAGGGCGUGCUUCUCUUCAAGGGGAGAAGGAAAGGGGUAUUUGUCCCUCGUCUCAGGGGGAUAAUCCAAGGGAGACCUCUCUAAAAUAUGAAUAUUUUGACUACGAACCUCGGGAGGAGGUGGAAUGGAACUGUCCGUAGUCAUAGAAAAAACCUCCGAAGUAGGAGUCUCCUCAGGAACAGAAGUCAAUAUAAUAGUGGGAGGAGGAGUCCUAACAACGGAGGGAGGGGUUCCUCCAAUAUCUACAUCCUCUGAGGAAGAAGAAUAAGAGGAGGAACCCGAGCUUCCCGAACCAGAUGUGGAACACUCCGAACUGGAAUGUACGGGGGAAGAAGGGGGAGCACCUACAAACAAAAAAGGAACAAAUAAAAAGUAAGUAAGUUACGAAAUAAAUAAUAAAUAAUCAAACUUACUAGCAGGUACAGGCUUGCGCAUACGACGGGAAAGCAUCUUUUUCUUACUUCCGACAGGUGCGGAAGGAGCAACCUGAACCUGAACAGGAGCAGCCUGAACAGACUCUGGUUGAGUAGGAGCAUCCUGAACCUCGACGGGAACAGACUCCGAUUGAGAAGGAGCAUCCUGAACGUCGACGGUAACAGUCUCCAGUUGAGGAGAAGAAUUUUGCUGUGCGUUCUUAUCAGAAGACAUUAUCUGCACAAAGAACAUAGAAGUCAGGCCAAGUUAAGGCAAAAGUCGAUCCCAAGAAAAGUCGACCUGGACUUAAGGGGAUCGAAAUUGCAAAAUAAGGGAAGUCGAUCUCAGAAGUCGAUCCCAGAAAAGUCGGCUGUCAGGAGACAAAGGUCUCGAGAAGUCGACUGACAAUAAGUCGAUUCCAGUAAAAAUGGAUCCAACUUUGAAAAGUCGAUGACAAGGCGUCAAACUUCACAAAGUCGGACCACAGUCCAAUGGGGAACAACUUCGAAAGGGACCGACUUUCAGAAAAGUCGGACACCAAGGAAGUCGAACCCAGUGCAGCCUCAGUAGAACCCGACAACAAAAGUCGGACCCCAGAAAACUGCACCUCCAAGGCUAAAGUCGAAGCCUCACGCACGCUGGAAGUCGAAGCGAAGGAACUGGAAGUCGAAGCGAGAAAGUCGAUGCGAAGAAAGUCGAUGCCUCAGAGCGAUGGAAACAAGUGAAGAGGAAGUGAACUCCCCUCCGCUAUUUAUAGGGGAAAGUCGAAUACGAACCGUCGCGGGCACUGUUCAUCCGGGUCGACCCGUUGGGCCGGAAAGCCCACGGGCCCGGCAGACCCACGACGGCCCAAUCCGUGAAAAACCCCAAAACCCAACCAGAGGCCAUCGACAUUUCAAGAAAAUCCAUCGACAUUUCAGAAAAAACCUUCGACAUUCUGCAGAAAAGCAUGUUCGACAUUCCCAAGAAAAGGGGAUAGGCGUCGACAUUUAACAAGGAAGUCGAUACCUUCAAAAGAGAAGGUCAGAAUCGACAUUCCGCAGGUAAGCAUGUUCGACAUUCCCAAGAAAAGGGGAUAGGCGUCGACAUUUAACAAGGAAGACGAUACCUUCAAAAGAGAAGGUCAGGAUCGACAUUCCGCAGGUAAGCAUGUUCGACAUUCCCAGGAAAAGGAGAUAGGCGUCGACAUUUAACAAGGAAGUCGAUACCUUUAAAAGAGAAGGUCAGGAUCGANNNNNNNNNNNNNNNNNNNNNNNNNNNNNNNNNNNNNNNNNNNNNNNNNNNNNNNNNNNNNNNNNNNNNNNNNNNNNNNNNNNNNNNNNNNNNNNNNNNNAAAAAUUCGACACCUUUAGAAAAGGAUCAGCAGUCAUCGACAUCCUCAGGAAAAGGUGGGAUCGACUUUUUUUAGACAACUUCGACAACUCGUGGGAGUCCACAACUCGGACGGGGAUACGACAGCAAAAUGAACUGAACCAUAUAAAGAUAUUUGAACUCCUACUGUUACUGGACGCAGUAACAAAGUAGGACGCCAAAUUAACUCUACCUGCGGAAGAACGCGGAUAGAGAAAGUCUUAAUGGUAACANNNNNNNNNNNNNNNNNNNNNNNNNNNNNNNNNNNNNNNNNNNNNNNNNNNNNNNNNNNNNNNNNNNNNNNNNNNNNNNNNNNNNNNNNNNNNNNNNNNNNNNNNNNNNNNNNNNNNNNNNNNNNNNNNNNNNNNNNNNNNNNNNNNNNNNNNNNNNNNNNNNNNNNNNNNNNNNNNNNNNNNNNNNNNNNNNNNNNNNNCCCCACCUACGGAAGAACGUAGGUUAGACGGGGGAUACGUCGGCUAAACACACACCCCAUUCUACAAAAAUGUAGACAGAGGGGCAAGUACUCAAGAGUAAACCUCACCUACGGAAGAACGUAGGAUUAGACGAGGGACGUGCUCAAGAACAUUCCUCACCCACGGAUGAACGCGGGUAGACGAGGAAACACAAUCAGCCCCUAUCGCGGAAAGGCGAGCAAAAGGAGGGGGCAAGUAUUCAAAUAAUAGUCCUCACCUACGGAUGAACGUAGGUAGACGAGGAAUCACACUUAGCCUCAGUCGCAGAAAGGCGAGCAAAAGGAGGGGGCAAGUAUUCAAAUAAUAGUCCUCACCUACGGAUGAACGUAGGUAAACGAGGAGUCACAAUCAGCCCCUAUCGCGGAAAGGCGAGCAAAAGGAGGGGGCAAGUAUUCAAGUAAUAGUCCUCACCUACGGAUGAACGUAGGUAGACGAGGAAUUACACUUAGCCUCAGUCGCAGAAAGGCGAGCAAAAGGAGGGGGCAAGUAUUCAAAUAAUAGUCCUCACCCACGGAUGAACGCGGGUAGACGAGGAGUCACAAUCAGCCCCUAUCGCGGAAAGGCGAGCAAAAGGAGGGGGCAAGUAUUCAAAUAAUAGUCCUCACCUACGGAUGAACGUAGGUAGACAAGGAAUUACACUUAGCCUCAGUCGCAGAAAGGCGAGCAAAAGGAGGGGGCAAGUAUUCAAAUAAUAGUCCUCACCCACGGAUGAACGCGGGUAGACGAGGAAGUACACUCAGCCCCUAUCGCGGAAAGGCGGAUAAAAGGAGGGGGUCGGGUACUCUCAAAAACCCGCCACAGGGAAGAGAACCCAAGCAGUGCUCAAGGACAGCUCAGGCAAGGCGUCAAGGUGGGCAAGCAGGGUUCCGCGGGAGAAUCGGGCCAGACAGGUGUGCAAGGAGUAGGCUUCGGCUAGGACAAACCGGACAAUAGUUGGCAAAAGCGCGUGACAAACCUCCGUGGAAGCAUAGAUACAACCUCGCAGGCGUGGAGGGGGGGGAGUACUGGUGAGAGAGGAUCGUACAUCCAGGGACAUCACCAGAAAUCCACAUCCCAGCACGCAAAGAGGGGGGGAAUACUGAUAGUACAGGGUCCGACACACAGACCAUAGUACUAAAAGACGUAUCCCAAAGUACCUAGUACGCAGAGGAGGGGGGAGUACUGGUGAUACAGUAUCCCGAACACGGUCACAACCUACCAGCAACUAGAAGUCCGGAUAGCCUAAGAUGAGUUGAGGUAUCUAUUCUAGGGUUAUGGAGGUCCCAGGUCGAAUCCUAGGAUGAUCGACUUUCCUGAGGAUCAACUUCCCUGGGAUCGACUUUUGAGUAAAGUCGAUCACCAGGAAAAGUCGACCCCCAGAAAGUCGAUCUCUGGAAAGUCGACCCCUGGACCCAAUCUGAUCAGUUAGGCAGUUAGGCGGUUACUGCCCAAAUGACCAGAUUGACCCCAUAAGAACCCCUAUAAAUAGAGGGCACCCCCCACUCAUUAAAGGGAGGUCAUUUGGAGAAGAAGGAUUCCUAGCGAAGCAGAGCUCUGCACACUUGAGUUCCGGUCCGGUUUCCCGCGGAGUUCCCCGCUUGGCGCUUGCUUGCGCAUCUUGGAGUACUGGUCGGGUUUCACCCCCAUCACUAAUUAUAAUAUAUCUCUUAAUUAACUAAAUCUAACUAUAAAAAAAAUAUUUUUCUUGGAUUCAAGAUUGCCAUCACUAAUUACCUAUUGUCGAUCGAAAAUAUCAAAGAUUCACAAGAAGAAUAAGGAAGAACUAACAAGAAGGUAGAUCAGAUACCAUCACUAAAGCUCGUCCUGAUCAUUAAUUACUUAAUUAGUAAUUAUACAAUAUUUGACCAUUUAGAAAAUUACUUAAACAUGUUUAAUUUAUUAAAGAUUGUUUAAUCACAACCAUUUAAAUAUUAAUUAAUGGUUUAGGGUAAAAAUCACCUAUUGAUUAAGAAAACCACUAGUGGUAUUGAAAAAAAUUCUUUUAAUGAAAUUAAUUUGAAACCCUAAUAAUUAUAUCUAUGAACAGAUUUAUAAAAAAAACCUUCUUCACAAUAAUAAAAAAAAUCAUUUUAAUGAAAUUUAAAACCCUAAUAAAAUCUAUGAAAGAUCUAUAAAAAAAUCUUUUUCACAAUAAUAAGGAAAAAAUCACUUUCUUUUUAUUGAAAUUUAAAACCCUAAUAAAAUUAAAUCUAUACAUGAACAAUCUAUAAAAAAACCUUCUUCGUGACAAUAAUAACAAAUCGCUUUUUUAAUUAAAUUUAAAACCUUAAUAAUAUCUAUGAACAUAUCUAUAAAAAAACCUAGCUUCUUCGCAAUAAUAAGUAAAAAAAUCUCUUUCUUUUAAUGAAAUUUAAAACCCUAAUUAAUAAUAUAUAUCGAUAAACAGAUCUAUAAAAAAUCUUCUUUAUAAUAAUAAGGAAAAAAUUCACUUUCUUUUUAAUGAUAUUUAAGCCUUGCUAAUAUCUAUGAAUAUUAGAUCUAUAAGAUACUGUUCUUCAAUUCGCGUAAUUAAAAAAUAAAGUUACCAAUUAAGAUUGAAAUUACGAAACAUACAAAAAAAGUUACCAAUUAAUUAAAAACAUCAAAAAAUAAAACAAAGAAAAAAUUGUGAACAUGAAAAUCAAAUCCUGAUCAAUAUACCAUAGAAAGUGGGGGUCGAGCUAGGGGGAGGAGACGAUGCUAGAUAUUCUAACUUACCGGCCUGUUAACUAUAAAUUAGCAUGCGCAUCAUAGCUAGAUUCGCAAGACACGGAAAAAAAACUAGAGAUAUGAUGAGCAUUUUGUAAAUGAAUUAAGUUAUUUAAAAUAAAAUUUACAUAGUUGCAGUCUUGUUGAAGAAAUCUACAAGCAAAUAAUAUUUUAAACAUGCAAAUUUAAAUUUAAUUAAUCGAUGAUCGAUCCACCUAGUGUUUUUGCAAACCUGUAUCCGAAAUUCAAUGGAAUUUUACAAAAAAUACUUAAUAAAUAUUUAUUAUUAAAACUAAUGAGAUAUAAUUUUGUAAAAAUAAACACAAAUUAUUUUGUACUUACAUAUAUAGAUCCUUGAAAAUUUGCAAAAAUAAUCCUAAAAGAAUUAUUUUACUACAAAUUGGUCUUUUAAUCAGCAUGCUAGCUGCUCAUUAGCUUCUCUAGCUGCUGAGUGCUGACCAUUUCAUAAAUGAUUUACAACAAGUCAAAUAAAAAACUCACCAACAGGCAACAACCUUACAUAACCAAGGAUAAACUUGUUCUAUUUAAAUAUAUAUGUCAUUGUAGUUAUUAAUUUUUCUUUUGAAAUUACCAACUGCCACCAAAAAAUAAGAUGAUAUACGUGGAGUGACAACUGAAAACACAUAUCUAAGUAUCUCACCAUUGAUGACAGAGCUGUGGAGAAUUUAACACUUAGUGAUGAUACCCUCGGCCCACUAUAUGUGGCCCAAGGAUAACAACAGUAACUCAGCCCAUGACCCAGACCCAGCAAGGAUCCGACCUGGGUCAAACCUGAACCCGACCCAACUACGAUACAGAUCGACUCCGGGGACCCGACCCGACUGCGGCCUGGGCUUAAGCCCAGAUCAGUAUCUGGCAAACCCGGCCCCAUUAGCAGGAUAAUACUGCUAUUAAUACUGCUCACCUUGGGAACAAGACCAGGUUAAUUUAAUGAGUCUACACUAGAUACUAGAGGGGAGUAAGAGAGAGAGAAAGAGGGAGAGAAAUAGAUCUAGGAUCGACUGUAACGGCCACAUCGUCGGCCUUGCGUUAUCACUUAGUUAUAAUUACAAUAAAUAUAGAGGUUAAUUUAAAGAGAUAUUAGUUUUAGGAUAUUAAUUACAAUUCUAUUAAAAACUAAGAGCAUGGCUCUAGAAUGCAUCAAAAAUUUCAUAAUUAGAAUUAAAACAUCUUUUAACAGAAACAUUAAAACAAUUAGAAGUGAUAAUGGAGAUGAAUUCACUUCAAACUCUUUUAAACAAAUACUUGCAAAAUAUGGGAUAACUCAUCAAUUAUCCUGUCCUUAUACACCAGAGCAAAAUGUUAUAGUGGAAAAGAAACAUAGGCACCUCCUAGAGGUAGCCAGAUCAUUACACUUCCAAGGGGAGAUCCCACUAAUAUAUUGGGGGAGUUGUAUUUUAACAGCCACACAUCUCAUAAAUAGAAUACCCUCAAAAGCUUUGGGAAGCAAAGCCCCAUAUGAAAUACUAAACAAACAUACACCAGAUUACAGUAUGUUAAAGACCUUUGGUUGUUUGUGUUAUGCUAUAACCAAUAUAAGAGAGCACAAAUUUUCAGCAAGAACCUUCAAAUGUGUUUUUAUGGGAUACCCACCCAUUAUCAAGGGAUAUUCAGUACUAGAUAUGCAAAACAAGAAGUUUUAUAUAUCUAGAAAUGUAAUAUUUAGAGAAAAUAUUUUUCCCUUUAAAACCAAUAAUGCUGAAAACAAACAGAUCCAAAAUCAAAGCAUAAAAGACUUUGGAGCUUUUUACAGGCAAGUUAUAAAUCAACAUGAUAACUGUGAAGAUGAAAACAUUAACAAAAAUAAGAAAACACUUAGCUCUGAGGAAGAGGCUGUUUUAAAAACACUGGAAUCUCCAAUAUCUGAAAAAAUUAAGAUAUUAGAUUCCAACCAUAAAAGGUCAGAUAUACCUGAUCAAAACAAAGAAAAAACCCAUGAAUACUCAGAUCCUAAGCAUAAAAAUAAUACAAUUCAAAAUCAAAGAAAAAUAGAUAAAACAGAACAAAAUAGUUCAAUGCAGUCCAGAACAUGUAAAACAAGUUCAGACAGUGAAGAACCAUUAGAAAUAACUGAUAACACUCAGCCUAAUGGAAAACUUCACCAAAAUGAACAAAACACACACAAAAAUGGAUUUAAAAAUAAAACUACCAAAAGAAAGAUUGAGAAUUGUGAAAAUGAUUCUCAAACCUCAAAUACACCCAAAAUAGACUCAGGAUCAAGCAACAAACAAAGUAAAAAUAAAAUUCAGAACCAAGAAGAAGGUUCUAAGCAAAACAGUGAAGAAAAUACCUUGGACACCAGUCCAAGACAGAAACAAAAACAAAAUGAAGGAGGUUAUGAACUGAAUCAUACAUCAGAAAAUCUAAAUCAGCCAACAAGAUCUGUACUAAAUAAAGAAAAAAUUACAGAAAUUGAGAACUCAUAUCAGCAUGACACUGACUUGAAUGAAAACAGGCCAGAAAACUCAAACAGAAAGGAAAAAAUAUCAACGGCCCCAAUAAACACUAAAACUAGUUUAUAUGGAAGAAAAAUAAUAAAACCAAAGCAAUUUCAAGAUUUUUAUCUUGAAAAUGAAAAAGACUAUCAUGAAUCAAAAUACCCGAUGAGCAACCAUGUAUCUUAUUAUAAAGUUAGUAAACAACAAAAACAAUAUUUAAAACAAAUAACAAUACACAAUGAACCAAACUCUUUUGAUGAAGCUUCAAAAGAUCCAAAUUGGGUUGAAGCAAUGCAAAAAGAGAUGAAUGCCCUUAUUGAAAACAAUACAUGGACAUUAACUAAUCUUCCGAAACAUUGAAAAUCCAUAGGUUCAAAAUGGAUCUAUAAAAUAUCAACCAAAUGGCCAAAUAGAGAGAUAUAAAGCUAGACUAGUGGCAAAAGGUUUCACACAAAAAGAAGGUUUUAUUUUUUUUGAAACCUUUACACCAGUAGUUAAAAUAAUCACCAUAAAGAUAAUAAUAGUUGUGGCAGCCAUGAAAGGAUGGAAUUUAUAUCAAAUAGAUGUAAAUAAUACUUUUCUUCAUGGUGAAUUACAUGAAAAAGUUUAUUUGAGACCACCACAAGGUCUCUUAAAAGAAAGAGAUAAAAGGGUAUGUAAGCUAAACAAAUCACUCUAUGGGUUGAAACAAGCCUCAAGGAACAGGUUUGAGAAAUUAAGAGGGGUUCUAAUAGAGAUUGGUUUUAUCCAAGACAAAUCUGAUUAUUCUCUUUUUAUAAGAGAGAAAAACCAAAAUAUGAUGUAUCUCAUAGUAUAUGUAGAUGACAUCAUAAUAUCAGGAAGCAAUGAGUUAGAAAUUGGAAUAAUUAAAAUACAAUUAGAAAAACAAUUCAAACUCAAAGAUUUAGGGAGGCUAAACUACUUCUUAGGAAUUGAAGUAUCAUAUUCCAAUAAAGGAACUUACCUCUCACAAAGAAAAUAUACAUUAAAUAUUAUAGAUGAAUGUGGCUUCUCAGGAGCAAAACCAUCUAAAAUCUCAAUGGAGAGGCAUAUAGACCUUAAAAAUGAUAAAACCCCACUUAUUGAAAACCCAACAUUCUAUAGGAAAAUAGUUGGAAAAUUAAUAUAUCUAAAUAUCACCAAGCCAGACCUAAGCUUUCCAGUAAACUGGCUGAGCCAAUUUAUGCAUGAACCAAGAGAAAUACACCUUCAAGUCCUGUUCAAACUAAUUAGGUACAUUAAAAAUGCACCUGGACAGGGACUGGUAUAUAGCAACUCUGGAAACAUGCUCAUUCAAGGCAACUAUAGCAACUCAUUCAAGGCUAUUGUGAUGCUGAUUGGGCAUCUUGCCAGAUUAGUAGAAAAUCUGUAACAAGAUUUUGCAUCAUGAUAGGAGAGUCAUUAGUUUCAUGGAAAUCCAAGAAACAGGUAACAAUUGCUAGAUCAUCAUGUGAGGCAGAAUACAGAGCCAUAGCUCAAACCACAUGUGAAAUAAUUUGGAUUCAUCAAUUAAUGGAUGAAUUAAGGAUUAAAGUAAGGAAACUAAUAGUUCUUUACUGUGAUAACAAGUCUGCCAUAUAUCUAGCAAACAACCCUGUUUUUCAUGAAAGAACUAAACAUAUUGAGAUAGAUUGUCAUUUCAUAAGAGAGAUGAUUAAUCAAGGAAAAGUCUUAAUAAAACAAGUUAGGACAAAAUUCCAACUUGCAGAUUUUUUAACCAAGGCUCUUGGUGAUAAAGAAAUUAAUGCAUCCCACACCAAGCUUGGUAUAUUAAGCAUAUAUUCCAAGGCCUGAGGGGGGGUAAAGGAUUUAAUUGAGCUAAAACGGUAAUCAAAGAAUUAACAGACUGACUGUAAAUUUAAUUAAACUAAACUUAGGACCCAAAUGUAAUUUCUAUUAAGUUCAGUGCUUGUUAAUAGUUUGUUGUUAAGUGUUUACUGUGCAGGUAAUUUACCCAACACUUGAGUUUCGGAUAUAAUAAUGCGCAAUAGUUUCAAUAAAAUCCAAUUAAAGAUAACGAGCCAAUUAUAUACGGGCCGGAGUCAUUGCUUAUAGUGUUGGGCUAAAUAUUAAUAGAGUUAGUUAUGUAAUAUUGUUAGUAAAAUUCUUACAAAGACUAAUUGUAAUUAACUCUUGAAAUAAUUCAAUUACAUUCUACUAAACACAAUCGCACUAACUGUCAUCCUAGACAGUUAACAUUGUAGCCCUAUAUUCUCGUCCUCUUUCUUCUACUGUCUAUGCUAAGUGCAAUCUCCGGUGAUAGCCGGCGCUUAUAGCUUAAAGAAGAUUGCCCAUUUCAGUAGACACAAGUUUAAUAAGUUAUAAUUACAAUAAAUAUAGAGGUUAAUUUAAAGAGAUAUUAGUUUUAGGGUGUGUUUUGAUAUUAUAUCAAAUUUUUUUUUGAAUCAAUUAAAAUUUCAUUAAAAAAAAUAAGGGCAAUACCCAAUUUACAUAGAGUAUAGAAAUAAAAACAGAAGUAAAAAAAAUGAGCAAAAGUUCAUUGACUUUCUCCCAUUAGCUAUGUAGUUUAGUUAUACAGUAACUAAUUUAGAUAACCGAGUAUUACUAAUUUAAUUUCUAGAUGUCUAUUACUAAUUUAAUUUCUAUUUAAAUCCAUCGAAUUUCUUUGUUUAUUUACAUUUCUCUGUUUACAUUUCAAGCGAGACAUGACCUCUGUUUGUUUCAUUGUUUUGCUCAUCAAUUACAAUUAUUUAUUGUUAAAGUUUUCAAAAAAUAUUUAUUAUUGGAACUUUUAUUUGAUUCUAUCACUGUUUUAUUUGAUUCGACAAUCUCAUCACAAAUUGAACAACCUAAUCUUGAUCUGAAAAUUCGUCAAUUUUAUCACAACAAUCUGAUCCCAUUCUCAAAAAUCAAUCUGAACAUGCAACUAUAUAUAUAGAUAAACAUACAACUAGAUAUAUACAUGAACAUACAACGUACGCACUAGUUAUAUACUGAACAUACAACUAGUGAAAUAUAUGAAAAUGCAACUAGUUAUAUACCUGAACAUUCAACUUGUUAUAUAUCUGAAUAUGCAAAGAUUUAAAUACAUGAACAUACAACUAGUUAUAUACUUGAACAUGCAACUGGUUAUAUAUGAACAUUCAACUACAAAAUUAAAAAAACGUGAUGGUGUCUUGGCUCGCGUUAGGGUGCUCACACACGCAACUCUUUAGUAUUGCUCUCACUAAUCAUCGAUCCCCUCUCUGUUGCUCCAAGGGAGGUACUUAUAGUACAUUUCCCUGGGCCCAGAGGGCCCAGUGGUCAUGUUCAGCCCAUGUUCCGUCUGGACGGGCCUUGGUACCAACGAAACGUAAGAAACUUACAUUUCUUUUUCGGAUUUACAGAAUCUGUAGUUCUUUUUGGAGGCAUUGCAAAACACGAAGGUAAAAAAUCGAUAACUUAUUGACACUUGACAGAGAAAAAAAUCGUGGACGGGAGUCGUCACAAAAGAAAAUAACAAAGAAAAACGUCAGAGAAGAACAACCACAAAACCACAUCUCUGAAAUGUCGGAGAAACGCGACUAAAAAAAGAAACGACUAACAUAGAGGGAGAGCGUGAAGAAUCACUGAAAAGUUUGAAGAUUCGAUCAAAAAUGGUAGAAAGAUAAGAAUGAACAAGGCGAAGUGAUGAAAUUGAAACCCGAUAUAAGAACAACGCUUAAAAAUUUAAAUAAAAAAAUUAAUAAUCAUUGAUAUUUAAAUCAAUGGUAGAUCUAACAACCUCAUUUCUAACUAAAAUACAAUUAACUUAACAUCAUUAAUAUUUUUAUAGGUUUAAAUCAACCACUAACAUAACUUGCACCAUUAUGCUUGUUUGUUGAAUCUAGUGAUAAUGUUUUCAACAAAAGUUUUGAAAUUAGUAAAAGAAAAUGGCACUGAGGAUAUUCAAAUUAAUGACCAAUAUGAGGAAAUCGCAGUUGUGAAUAGGGUUAGCAAAUAAAGAGAUUAAUGAAUAGAAUGUUAGAGCAGAUUGAACGAUAUUGAAACACACAGAUAGUCACCGACGGUGAAGGCGACGCACGAUUUGGGAACAAGGGUUUCUCUGUUUUGUAUUAAUAAAAUGAUAAUAGAAAAAGUUAAGUUACAAAUGAAGUGUAUUAACCUAUAUAUAUUGUUCACUAAUUACCUACUCACUAAACCCAUUUUGGCCCACUUGAUAUAAAGUUGAAAUUCAGCUUUUAACCAUUUCAUCUGAAUUGUUUUCCCUUCAUCUUACAUAAUCUCGAGGUGUAUUAUUUUUUUUAAAUGUAAGACCAAGAUUUCAUAGACAUUUUUGGACUUAUUGAAGAUGAGUUUCCAUGAAAUUUCUUCUAUAAAAUAAUAUUAAUUAUUAAUAAAGUGUAUCAAUUACCAAACAAGGAUCUGACCCGAUCGGGCUUUAGGACGACCGGACCCUAACCGAAAAAUGACCGAAUUAUUAGGUCACCAGGUCGGGUUUAAAUUUUAGAGUCAGAAAAUUACACAUGACCCGACCCUAACAACCAGGUCCAGGUCGGAUCACAGGUCGUUAGAGGCCCAUUCUCACCCUUAUUAAAUAUUGUCUAAAACUAAAAAUUCAAAGACCACACAUUUCUAAUCAAUCACUAAUAUCAUCCUUAGAAUGAGAAUGCCAAUUUCAUAUGUUUGUGAUAUUUUUGCCAGGUGAAAUCGUGCAUAUAAUUAAAUUACUGAAUGUAAAAUUUAUCAUGGAAUGAAUACUUCUCUUAUUUCACUUUAUUUUAGCUCUAAACCUGCAAACCUUCUUUCUUACAGAAGAAUACAACAAGACAAAGAGAAAAAUGGCAAAGCAUGAGAAUCAUUCUGAAGAAUGAAAAUACUAGUGAGCCAUGUUUCGGAACAAAGCGAAAAGACGAUGCGGCAAAAUAAAAAAGAAAAGCACGAGUGACUAUGAGUGAGUGGAGGUGUGUGAGUUGAAUUGAAGAAUUUACAUGUGCUUCUUAUUCAUCAAGUUCGACCUGCCUUUUCUUUCCUGUUAGCUAUUUUCAAUUAAAUUAGAUGGCUCGCUUAAAACAUACUUUGGCAACUCGUAUUUUGCACCUGUAAUUAAUUAAAGUUUUUUUUUAUAGUGGUAGAUGAUUAUUUUAAAAAAUGUCGAAUUUAAAAUUGUAAUGGAGUAAAUAUUUAUACCUCUUUCGUCGUAACAAGUCGUCAUGUCAGAACUUGUAACAAUAACACCUGCACUUUCAACUAUGACUUGUGCAAGAGUUAAUUCAGCUUCAGCCGCCGCUUGAAGUGCAUCCCAGAUUUCUGUUAUGAUGGUAUAAAACAAGUGUUCUAAAGACUUUAAUGAGUAUACUCAAAUAUAUAUAGUUCCUUACUUCAUUUGGGGAGAGAGAGAUGGUUAGCUAUCACAUGUACGAAGAUAUUGUUUCUUUAAUGGAAAAAUAAAUCAUAUCGAUACAACUGCAAUGGAAAGAUUUGAAAGAAAAGAAGAAGAAAAUCAUCAAGGACAAUUGUAAUUUUAAUUGAUAUAAUUUUUUUUAAUGAUGGUCUUAAUCACAAUCAAGACAGCUAUAAACCUCAAUGAUAAUAUUUAAUAUCACUGUGUUACGAAAUGUAGUUGUAUCAGAGCAAUUUAAUCUUAAGUACAAUCUUAAGACACCUAAAAACAGCAUUAAAAGUAUAUCUGUGUUGUGAAAUAUAGCUGCAUGACACAAUAAAAUGCAUGCAACAAAGUAAAGGGGUUCUUUGGAAGGACACUACAUUUAAUCUAUAAUUAAUUUUUCAUGCAUUUAUUUAUUUGCUUCAUCAAAGACAAAGACUGACAGAAAGAUCAAGCCAAGGCAUUUAACUUUCGGAAUGCUGAUUUUUUGACCAAUCAUAACAAUCAAAAGGAAGCAAUUUAAAUUGAAAUCCUUUUUAAUAGAAUCUAAAAAUACAAAAUCCAUAAUCUUGGCAAAUCUAGUAAAAAUCCUACUUUUCAUAUUAAAAAAUAAUGUAAACAAAAUCCAUGCUACGAAUGCAAACCUAUGAAUAAAUAAAAAAUUUGUUUUUACUUUUUAUUACUCUAUCACUCACUAUUAAGUAUUAAUUGACAACAUUAGCUAAAUAAGGGCACUGGGGAUGAAAUACUAAAGAUACUAAGAAAGUAUGCAUCUCCUCUUUUGUACCAUCAACUAAGAAUCCUACCUUUUUUUGCUUUAUUCUUAUGAAUUCAUCCAUGGAAACAGAUGACAAUAAUUGAUCCUGGUCAUUCGUGUCUACUACAAAUGUACAAUUCCAUAUCAAUGGAUGUUAACCACAAGAAAUGGUAGUUGUUCAGCAAUUACAUGAUAUAAGAAUGUUAUAUGCAUCCAGUGUCAUAUAUUCAUACACCCAAGAGCCCAUAGAAUUGUUCAGCAAUUAAAGUUAGGGUUAGCAUCCUAAAAAUUAUUCAGUAAUUACAUGAUUCAGUGAAAUUAAAGAUUGGUGGUGGCUAAUCAUUACAACACAAGUGCCUAAGUGGAUUGGACCACAUCUCCCUGAUGUGCAAUUGUAUUUUUGAAAUCAAAGCUGUUUAUUUAAGUAUCUUUUAAAAACUUAGAAACAUGGACAUCCAAUUGUCAAUUGGGUCAUUUAAUGUGAUUUAGUAAUAUUUUUUUGACAUAUCUCGAGUAAUUUUACAAUGGUGCAUGUCGAUGUGUAGUUGUCUUGAGGAUUGAAGUCAAAUUACACUCUACUAUUUGAAAUGGACGGUUGAGAAUGAAAUGAGAUUAAUGAACAGAUAGCAUUUAAGAUCUCUGAUAAUCUUUAGAGUUCUCAUCCGAUAUCAGCCCUCUUUUUAUAAUCUUGAUAACAACUAAGUAUUAACCAAUGCUGUUCUUUAAGAUUUUAAUCAUUUCUUCCACCAAUUAAAUGAAAAAAAUUGGGUUGUUUUUUUAAUUUUUAAACUUUUUUUAAAAUCCAGGAGACUAAAGCUAGGGUUUUUUGUAUACGAUGAAUCCUACUACUAGAAUUACAUUUUGCAAUAGAGAACUAAUUGGUUGAUAAAACACACAAGAAGCAAAAACAAAACAAAACAGAACAGAACCUUUCUGACCACCAUAGUGCGGAGCAGUGUCCCAAAACUCCUCGCGCAUCUGCUGGAGCUGUUGCCGUGUUAUUGGUUGAGUAUGUUUCCAACACUUUGGCUUCUGAAGUUUUUUCGCAUUCGCUGCAGUUCACACGAAAGUAGGAAAGAAAGAAAAAAUGAAAUUAAAAUUAAAAUUUACAACAACAAAAAAAAACAUCUCACAAGAUCGAUUUCGCGAAACAAGUCGGCAAUUGCAUCGAUACAAAUAAACCCUAACUAAAUUCACUUGUAAUCUGAGAUUUGCGACGAAAAGAAAUCAGUAGAAGAAAGAGAAAGAAGAGAAGAAAUACCAGGGCCAUCGCCCUUUGUUUGGGAAGAUCCAAUGCACCCCAUCGUAUUCACCGGCGAUGAGCUCCCCGGAUUCGGCGAGGAUCAAUCGGAAUUCAGGGUUGGAAUUUCCCGGAUCGAUUUUUUUUCCGAAGAUCGAGUGCGGUCGGUUGGGAUUCUUGGGAGAGAGGAAAAAAAGCUAGUGGUGGACUUGGUGGUUCCUUUAUUCUCACUCCCUUUAGCUAAAUUAGCAUAAAUAAUCCAUUUUAGGUAGGGAUUCAACUCGGGUCCGGGUCCGGGUCCGGGUUGACAAUAACAGACACGAUUCGUAAAAAAGCACAACACGUUUAUAAUAAUGUCGGGUUAGUGUCGAAAGUUUUGAUAUGAUUAAUAAUAGUGUCGGUUUAAUGUUUGUCUUUAAAAAAUACGACACACGAUUACACAAAACGUAAAUUGACACAACACGACAUAUAUGAAAUAAUAACAUGAAAAUAUAACAUAAUAUUAUUAGUUAACUAUGUUUAUCGUUUAUAUAAUAUGAGUAAAAUAAUAUUUUUAUCUAAAAUUUUAGGGUUAGGGUUUUAUAUAAAAUAAUAAAAAUAAAAUAAUAACUACUGGUAAAAUAAUAAUUAUAUAAUAGGGAUAAAAUAAUAAAAUGUACUAUAGAUAAUUAUUAUCAAUAAAAUAAUAGUGUCGUGUUCGUGUUAUUUUUUUUUAACACGGAUCGUGUCGAUCGUGGUUCGUGUCAUGUCGUUACACAAAUUGACAGACGUAAAAGAACUCGGUAAGGUCGUCCCAUCCAUAACCCGUCCCGUUCUCACCCUUAUUGGUAAGGGGUUUGGUCUGACGUAUCCAUCAGCUUCAGAGUCUUCAUCAGUGUCAAUCCAGCUUACUUGAUGAACAGUAUCCUUAGAUUUUGGACAGUUAGUCUUGUAUGUCCAGUCUUCUUACAUUUGUAACAGAUUACUUCUUUUUGCUUUUCUGAUUCCAUCCAUAACCCGUCCCGUUCUCACUCUUAUUGGUAAGGGGUAUGGAUCCGCCCGGUCGGGCGAAUACCCGUGAGACGGCUUGGAUCUUUCUCUUUUGUUCACUUCGCUGAGCCUUGUUUCUGGACUCUUGCGUGGGUCUGGGCUGAUAGAUUGGGGGUACCAUCACAUGUAAUAUGCAAUUUGACACAGGGAGAUUAACUUAACUGAUCACUGUAACUAUUAAGAUUGUUGAAGGUUCUAAUCUUGUUGGGUUCUUAAUUUUCACCACGAUUUAACUGUGGUAUAUAUUAUGUGGUUUCGGUAUAUCAUCUGAAAGUAAGUCUUUUUACCUGUAAAAAGUUACCCUUCGUUAUAAAAAAAAAAACAUUUUCUCAAAUUCGAAGUAAAAAAUUUGACACUGUUACCACAAAUAAACACCCACACGAAAUAUUUUUCCGUACACCAUACAUUCCCAAAUCUCAUAAUACCAUCCAUAGGAUAUUCUAUCCAUUCUGUUCCACACAUGACCAUUGGCCGGCCACAAACCUAUAUCUUUAUCUAGAGGUGUCAAUAACAUACACGAUUCGUAAAAGGACGCGACACGAUUUUAACACGAUAUGUUCAUAAUAGUGUCGGGUUAGUGUCUAAAGUUUUAACACGAUUAAUAAUAUUGUCGGUUUAAUGUUUGCUUCUAAAAACACAAUAAGAUUACACGAAACGUAAGUUGACACGACUACAUGAAUCGUGUUGGUUAUUGUCACCCCUAGAUUGUACUGGUGAAACUAUAAUGAAACCCCUAUAGAAACUUAAGAAAAGAAACAGUAAGGUAGAAUUUUACCAUGUUUGAAUAGGGAUAUAAAUCUAAUUUCAUCAUUUAUCAGGGAAUAUCUGAAAAAUGAACUAUAUAGAUACUGCGAGUAUCCGAAAACAACAAUCACCCCACCAUCGUCCUCAUCGACCCCGAUCCGAAAGCCCCAAAUCUUCAGGUGAGAUCUUUCCGUUCUCCGUUUUGGAAUAUCGAUCUUGCAGAGAUAUUAAUUUCUUCCUCUUCAGAUUUCCUACCCGAGGGUGGAGAUGUGGAAGGUUUAUGUUGGCAAUCUGGAAUCUCGAAUCAAGGAGAGGGAGAUCGCCGAUGAGUUUAGGGUUUAUGGAAACGUCAGGAGGUAACGAUGCUUGUUCUCCCACUCCCUCUCUUUGUUGUUGUUGUUUGAAUCUGCUUAACUUUUGAAAAUUUAAAAUCGAAAUUUUCAAAGGAAGAAAGAUGCAAUUUUUUUUCUUCCAUUUAUCUGCUUUUUGUAGUUCUUUUCAUGGUUAUGGUGUAAACAACUAAACCAGCAGAAUUGAUUGUACCGUCUCUUGUAGAAGUGUGACCUGAAUGGAUAAAAUUGAGAAAAAUCUAAAAGUAUUUCUUAAAAACAUGUUUUCUAAUUGUUUCAAAAAAAACUGUUUCCUAAAAAGUAAUUCAUAAAUAGUUGUGCUGCAACAUUGAUUGAUAUGCUAGUCUUUUGGUGCUUACAUAUUUUUCAUUUUUUAUUCAGUGUAUGGGUAGCAAGAAAUCCUCCGGGCUAUGCAUUUGUUGAAUUUGACGACCGUCGGGAUGCAGAAGAUUCUGUUUCUCGAUUAGAUGGUUAGUUGAUCCAUCUUUUGCAAACUGAGUUAGUUUUUCAAUUUAAUAGCAUAGAUGGGUUCAGAAUGCUUUUCUUUAAAGGUUUAUGUUUUUACUACACUUUUGUUUAAGUUUCAAUUCCAACCUUACAAUUUUCCAAAUGUAUGGCAUAUUUGUACCUAUAUCCAUGAAUUUGUUGUCUCCUUAUGUAUAAUUUCUCCGUUCUUUAGAAUUCGGAUUUUGGAGAUUCUUACCUAGCAUCUAGUAUCCUAAGUCUUUUAAAAAAAAUUUGAAAUUGAUUAUAACUAUCUAUCUAUCUAUCAUUUUGAAUUUUUGAAUGAUGAACAUGUUGGAUAAUGUAAGACUUUAUAUCUUUUUUAGUUUUUUAAUAAAUCUUUGUUCAUUUUAAGUGUACUGGAUGUUUCUUGGAACACAAAUGAAAAAAAGACUUAUUCACAGAUUCUUUCUUCUGCUACUGCUUCGAUGCUUGUCAUCAUCAACCUCAUUAUUGGGUCUGUCAUUGUUGCUAUCGAUAUUGCCAUACACUGAGCCACUGAUACGACUUUCACCUUCAUCAUUGUUGCAAUUGCCUUGACCUCUGCCAUUGUUGCCGCUGCUUACCAAUCUGGUACUGCCAGAAUCUUUGCUGCAAUGAACACUGUAGUUUUUAUAACUACUUCUCCCACUCUUACAUUGUCCACAGCCAUUAUUAUAACUCAAACUCUCAUCAUCACUUGUUUGCAACCAUUAGGUUUGGAUAAUGAUUAUCACUGAAUAUAAAAAAAUAUAAUAUGAUUAUAUAGUAUAUACACAUAUCAAUCUUAAUAUGAGCAUAUGAAUAUAUAUUAAAUAAUACGGAUGAUUUAAUGGAAUUUUAUAUACUAUAAUUGAGAAAACAAUAAGAUACUAAUUGAACUUAUAUCAUAUAUGUGAUACCAAAAAUACUUACUGAUUUUCUAUACUUACUCUAGUUAUUUAUAAAAAUAUAAUAAAAAAUACGGCCCUCCUUAAGGAAGCCAGGCGGCCAUUCUAAUCACCUUCAAAACCUUGAUCUGAGUGAAUGAUUUACACUUAUCGCCAAGGUCUGCAAGUGUUAGGAAAACAUUGAAGUUGUCAGAUACCUUCUUCCCAGCAAUUGUAAAUGAAUCAAUGAAUCGUCGAAUACUGCGAUCUAUGGAACAUAUUCAUCAACCUUGCAAGAUCUUUUUCACCUCUAGAAGUUUCUGUAAGAGACUCAGAACUCUCGAGUGUGAUCCAGAGGCAAAUGAAUAUUAAAUUCUAUUCAAUACUUCAAAUGACAUUCCGCAACUUGUUACUUGAGGUAAAAUUUAAGAAAAAAUUGAUGACAGAAACCAUCCGAUGAUCAAAUUGAUCAUGUCUUGUAGCUAGAACACCGUUGUGCGAUGCCUUUUCUUUGAUGAAGUCCAUCAGUUCAUUUGUAUGGAGUAUUUCCGCAAAUAGAGUCCUCUAUGUGAACUAAUUCCCACAAUCUAGAAUUGCACCCUUCGUAUGUUUGAUUGUUGCUGGAUUUGAAGGUUUUGUAACAAGCUUUCCUUCAAAUAAGAUCAGAGAAGCGAAAGAAUAGGAUGAUGACUGGAAAGUGUUUGUUGGAUGUCAACAAACCAUAAUUUGUUGAAUGUCAACAAACCAUAUAAGUGAAAGUAAUGUAUUAGGUGAGAAGAGAAAAAUCCGAUCUCUCAAUUGUUCCAAUAGAUUCUUUACUUCUCUUUCUAUAUAGGUUCAAUAAAUGAAUUGGUUAUUAUCCACUACCAAAUAGAGUGCCAAAAGUAAGCACAUAAAGCAAAAGGAAAGUAGUAAACUAAUUAUAGAAUGAGCUACUAUUAAUCUAAAUUUAAUUCUCGUUAAUAGCUUUUAGUUUUCCAAUAUAUUUUGAUGCAUAAUUCAACCCCAUACUUUUUAUCAUAUUUGGUAUUUUUGUCUUUCUAUCAACAUAUUAGGCAAACAUGGUUGGCGAGUGGAAAUGUCUCGGAAAUCAGUUGGUGGUGUUCGUGGCCGCCCAUCAUAUGGUAGUAGUGAAAGCAAAUGCUACGAAUGUGGUGAUAUUGGUCAUUUUGCUCGUGAAUGUCGGUCUAGACUUUCCAAGCAUUCACGGCGGCGGUCACCAAGCCCUGUCCGUAGAUCAGACAGUUACAGGUACUUCUGAGAUGUAAGAUAACAUUUUUCUAAUUUUCAAAAAUCUAGGAAAAUAGAUCUUUUAAGGUAUUUAAUUGAUUGUUAAAUAGGCAUGGUAACUUGUCCAGAAGUGUGCGUGGAGGUAGUCGAUCUCCUUCUCGCUAUGAUAGAAGAAACUCCUAUAGAGACAGGUAUGAGUUUCUUUUUAAGUUUUAUAAAUUUCAAGAACUAUUUAUAAUUUCAGUUUGUAACUUUGCAUUGUAAGGUUAAUGGAUCUUUGAGUAAAAGCAUGGCAGCAUUAUAGACCUAAAAUCAUAAAAGUUUGUCAUAAAUUAAUUACAACAACGAUCAAGUAAAAAAAUGAUUGAUAUUUAGUUUGGUUUUGAACCCACACAUUGAUUUUGAGUUUGUUUGAGAUUUUGAAACAGAAAGAUUUCUAGAAAAAUUUCAUUGUAGUGGUUUUCUAGGAAUUUGAGAAAAUAUUAUACUCUUGUUUUUUUUGAAGCAGUUAAAUAUUUUCGUUAAUAUUAAUGAAGGACAUUGCCCUGAUUACAGUGGGAAAUAAGCAUAAAAACAGAUAAAAUAUGGUAAAGAGUACAAGAAUCAUUUGACACUUUCCACACAAUCAUACUGUCUAGUGUUGAGUAAUAGGUUAUCUGUCUCCCAUAUUUGUAUCGUACUAGGCCUCAAUGGAUGACAACAACUCUUCUUGAAGCACUCAGGCUUGAAGGAAAGACUUAUGCCAUUUAUGACCUCGUUGAGUACCGUUUCUGGUGGUCUGAGACUACUCUGAGUAAAUGUUGUUGCCAUCUUCUGUUUCUUUUUGGCAACCCACAUGUGGCAACUCAAGGCUCCAAUCAUGUUCCAUAAUAAAACCCCAUAUAAUCUUGUUUGAUGAAAUGCUUGUUAUGCAUUUUUUAUUAAUCGCAUAGCAUAUCAUCAUAUGGUAUGGCAAUAUAGGUAGUUUAAAAAAAAUUAGAAAAUUCUCAGAGUGAAAAUGUGGGAAAGUUGGGAGAAAUUAGUUUAAAAAAAUCAAAUAAUGAAGGGAAGUACCCUGAUAACCUGAUUACAUGGAUAAUACAGAAAAAAUAAAUAAAGAUAAAGAUGUAAACUAGGAAAUGAGCCAAAGGUCCCCAUUGGCACUCUCCAAUUAGCCAUGUAAUGUAGUUAUAUAACUAGAUACACUGUUCAGGUGGUUAGUUCCCAUACUUCUAUAGUAGUCAGUAAAUGUCUCUAAAGAAUGAGAACAACUCUUCUUAUGACAUUCUGGUCUAAAGGAGAAACUAAUAUCCUUAAUUAUGUUUUUUACUUUUCAAGAUGAUGUCAAAAAUUUAUUAAAGAUGGAAUUUUUAGGAAACUCAAAUUACAACUAUAAAUAAUUUUCUAUACCUUUCUUUCCUGUUUGUUUGGAUAAUCUCACAACACAAUCAGACCCUUAGUAUCAAUAAAUAACUAUUUGUCAUCUUUAAAAAUACUUAAUGUACUGUAUUUUUAGCUACUAUCUAAUACUAUUAAUAUAAUAAUAGGGAAAUAUAUAAACUGCUUGAGUAACUAUAGGGUCACACAAAUUGCCCCCUCCAAGCACUCAGAAACAUUAAGUCCUAGAGGCAUCUUACAAGAGAUAAAUCUAGGGAUCUGGGCCAAAAAGCCUCCUAAAUUCUCCAUGUUGUUGUGGAGAAUUAAAGUCAAGAGUCUGAACACUUUAACUAGACUUCAAAGCUGGGGACUCAACAUAAAUACGUCCUGCCCACUAUGUGGAAAUGAGGAAGAAACAUUACAACACCUAUACUUUAACUGCCAUUACACUAGAUCCCUAUUGUUAGAAUCCACUAGCUGCCUUAACAAUGUUGUUUGGACACUUAGUGGGCAAAAUCCCCCAUCUCCCACAAUAGACAUCAGGAUAGGGGAUAUUAUGGAAACAAUACAAAAAUUCACUCACAAGUCCAGUUGCUGGGGGGUACACUGGACUAUGCUAGCAUUCCUUUCCUGGCACAUAUGGUGUGAAAGGAAUAGGAGAUUAAAACAACAUACCCUAAGGCCCCCAUAAAUUGUCAGCAGAGAAAUUAUAAAGGACGUGAGCAUUGCAUAUGAUUCUACAUCCUAUAAGAAACACAAUCUUUCACAGAUUGAAAAACAAGCUAUACGCUCAUGGGAGUCCAACCUCUUGAGGCUUUAGUCCUUGGCCAGUUAGUCAGGGUCAUAGCUGUAUAAGAGAUAGACAAUGUUUUUACAUUUACUGUACUUGCAUUUCCCUAUAUUCUGUAAUCUUGGGCUAUGCCCAACCACUUUUCAGUAAUGAAAAUUAAUUUCUCAAAAAAAAUAAAAAUAUGCUAUCUUUAGUAUUAGAUUUGUUCUUGAACUAUAAGUUCUUGGAGUAUACAGAUAUGAGGUGUUUUUUACUUUCUUGGAUGGAAAUUCCCACAAAAAGCCUAAUCGAUUGAGCUUUAUGGUUUUAAUUCUUGGGAAUGUAAUUCCAUGAAGCAAAAGACUCUCAUAGACUCAUACUAUGACUAUUUAAUGCCAUAGUCCCAGCCAUAUAAGGAAGAGGAUAAUAAGUUCGCUUAUCUCGGUGAUCUUUGUAACUCAUCAUUUACUCAAUUUAUUUUAUAAAGAAAACUAUCUAAUAUCUAUGAAUAAAAGCACAUAUUAGAAUUUCAAAGAAAAUUUUAUUUAACUACUGCUUUUUGUACAUAUUUAUUAACUGUUAUUUAGAUUCAAAUCCAUUAUCCAUCAAUAUUACUAAGAAGAUUGAUGUUACUUUUAGACUUUAUGAUUUUAUGUUAUUUACUUUUAGCCUAUACUUUUAAGCCUUUGCUAUACAUUAAACCUGGAAAUUCAUUUGUUUAGCAUGUAUCUCCAAAAUAACUUUGUUGUAUAGUUUUUAAGGUGCCCAACAAUAGUUAGGCAUUUGGAUUCCCAUGCAUAGCUGAAUCUAGGUAGUAUUUAAUAAUUUUCUAUAGAAAACUGAGUCUGUUUUGUGAUUUUUAAGAUGCCCUCCCAUUUCUAGGUAUUUUGAAAUUUGGAUAUCUAAAUCUUGUCCAGAUCUGGGUAGAGAUCAUCUGGAUUUCAGGGGAAAAUACCUUUUUCCUUUGUUUUCUUUUUUUCACUCUUCUUCCGGUGACCACUGACGCACCUCUCUCUACUAGAAGUCCGCUGGAUUCCAGCCAAUUUCUGGGGAUUCUAGGUUUUUUUUAAAUUUUCUUUAGGCUUAAUUAACAGUAAUAAUGUAUUUUAAGUAUUGAAUUUAAUAUACUUUUUUAUAACUAUUUAAUAUAACUAUUUUAAUAUAACUAUUCUGGGAAUGUUUCUUUAAAUUUAAUAUAACUAAUUUUUAUAGGAGAAGAUCGAUGAGGUGGGAAACCACUCUAUCCCUCCCUCUCACUUUAUUUUAUUUCACCCUUCAUUAUUAAUGAAAAAAAUUUAUUGUUUACAAAAAAAAUGUAAGUGUAAAAUUGAAAGAAAUAUAGGUGUUUUAAAAUUUUAAAAUAUUAAGGAUUCGAGCUUGUCCUUCAAGCGAGAGAUCUACAAAAAGGGAGAGCAAAGCAGUAGAAAUACCAAACUUUUUCAUGCGAAGGCGUCGCAUAGGCGACCAUGCACUCCAGCACAUGUAGGCGUUUGCCUUCAUGUGCUGGAGCGGGUUGGCGGAUCCGGGUCGGGUCCGCCCAGAUCUGCCUAACCCAAUAGGUCUGUUUUAUUUUUAACUUUUUUUUUAAAAUUUAAAUAUAAGGCCCAACCACCCAUUUAAGGCCCAUUUAAAUAUAAGUCAUUUAAAUAAGAGGUUGAGGGUUUUAAAAAACCCUAACCUCUUUUCUUUCUUGUUUCUUGCACCUUUCUAACCCUAAAUUCAUAGAAGUCUUAUAAUCUAUGUAUUUACAUUUUAAAUUUUAGAUUAAUAGUCUAUUACUUUGUAUUAGUAAUUUCAGGUUUUAAAAUUGAUGUAUAUAUUUUUUUAAAUGUUUCUGAAUUUANN
rnacentral:lncRNA from 1 species